GACUGGGAUAACUUCGGGAAACCGGAGCUAAUACCGGAUAACUUCAGACACCACCUGGUGACUGAAUAAAAGAUGGCUUAGGCUAUCACUUGCAGAUGGGCCCGCGGCGCAUUAGCUAGUUGGUGAGGUAACGGCUCACCAAGGCAACGAUGCGUAGCCGACCUGAGAGGGUGAUCGGCCACACUGGGACUGAGACACGGCCCAGACUCCUACGGGAGGCAGCAGUAGGGAAUCUUCCGCAAUGGACGAAAGUCUGACGGAGCAACGCCGCGUGAGCGAUGAAGGCNUUCGGGUCGUAAAGCUCUGUUGUUAGGGAAGAACAAGUACCGUUCGAAUAGGGCGGUACCUUGACGGUACCUAACCAGAAAGCCACGGCUAAC
rnacentral:rRNA from 1 species